GCCUGGGAUAGCUCAGUCGGUAGAGCAUGAGACUGUUAAUCUCAGGGUCAUGAGUUUGAACCCCAUAUUGGGCA
rnacentral:tRNA from 1 species